GAUGAACGCUAGCGGGAGGCUUAAUACAUGCAAGUCGUACGGUAACAGGUGUAGCAAUACAUGCUGACGAGUGGCGCACGGGUGAGGAACACGUACGCAAUCUGCCUCUGACUAGGAGAUAGCCCUGGGAAACUAGGAUUAAUACCCCAUAACAUCACGGUGUGGCAUCACAUUGUGAUUAAACCUCCGGGGGUCAGAGAUGAGCGUGCGUUUGANAGGUAGUUGGCGGGGUAACGGCCCACCAAGCCUGCGAUCAAUAGCUGGCGUGAGAGCGCGACCAGCCACACGGGAACUGAGACACGGUCCCGACUCCUACGGGAGGCAGCAGUAGGGAAUAUUGGACAAUGGCUGAAAAGCUGAUCCAGCCAUCCCGCGUGAAGGCAGAAGGUCCUAUGGAUU
rnacentral:rRNA from 1 species